GGGUUGUGAGGUUAAGCGACUAAGCGUACACGGUGGAUGCCCUGGCAGUCAGAGGCGAUGAAGGACGUGCUAAUCUGCGAAAAGCGUCGGUAAGGUGAUAUGAACCGUUAUAACCGGCGAUGUCCGAAUGGGGAAACCCAGUGUGAUUCGUCACACUAUCGUUAACUGAAUACAUAGGUUAACGAGGCGAACCGGGGGAACUGAAACAUCUAAGUACCCCGAGGAAAAGAAAUCAACCGAGAUUCCCCCAGUAGCGGCGAGCGAACGGGGAGCAGCCCAGAGUCUGAAUCAGCUUGUGUGUUAGUGGAACGGUCUGGAAAGUCCGACGGUACAGGGUGAUAGUCCCGUACACCAAAAUGCACAGGCUGUGAACUCGAAGAGUAGGGCGGGACACGUGGUAUCCUGUCUGAAUAUGGGGGGACCAUCCUCCAAGGCUAAAUACUCCUGACUGACCGAUAGUGAACCAGUACCGUGAGGGAAAGGCGAAAAGAACCCCGGCGAGGGGAGUGAAAAAGAACCUGAAACCGUGUACGUACAAGCAGUGGGAGCACCUUCGGGUGUGACUGCGUACCUUUUGUAUAAUGGGUCAGCGACUUAUAUUCUGUAGCAAGGUUAACCGUAUAGGGGAGCCGCAGGGAAACCGAGUCUUAACUGGGCGUUAAGUUGCAGGGUAUAGACCCGAAACCCGGUGAUCUAGCCAUGGGCAGGUUGAAGGUUGGGUAACACUAACUGGAGGACCGAACCGACUAAUGUUGAAAAAUUAGCGGAUGACUUGUGGCUGGGGGUGAAAGGCCAAUCAAACCGGGAGAUAGCUGGUUCUCCCCGAAAGCUAUUUAGGUAGCGCCUCGUGAAUUCAUCUUCGGGGGUAGAGCACUGUUUCGGCUAGGGGGUCAUCCCGACUUACCAACCCGAUGCAAACUACGAAUACCGAAGAAUGUUAUCACGGGAGACACACGGCGGGUGCUAACGUCCGUCGUGAAGAGGGAAACAACCCAGACCGCCAGCUAAGGUCCCAAAGUCAUGGUUAAGUGGGAAACGAUGUGGGAAGGCACAGACAGCCAGGAUGUUGGCUUAGAAGCAGCCAUCAUUUAAAGAAAGCGUAAUAGCUCACUGGUCGAGUCGGCCUGCGCGGAAGAUGUAACGGGGCUAAACCAUGCACCGAAGCUGCGGCAGCGACACUAUGUGUUGUUGGGUAGGGGAGCGUUCUGUAAGCCUGCGAAGGUGUGCUGUGAGGCAUGCUGGAGGUAUCAGAAGUGCGAAUGCUGACAUAAGUAACGAUAAAGCGGGUGAAAAGCCCGCUCGCCGGAAGACCAAGGGUUCCUGUCCAACGUUAAUCGGGGCAGGGUGAGUCGACCCCUAAGGCGAGGCCGAAAGGCGUAGUCGAUGGGAAACAGGUUAAUAUUCCUGUACUUGGUGUUACUGCGAAGGGGGGACGGAGAAGGCUAUGUUAGCCGGGCGACGGUUGUCCCGGUUUAAGCAUGUAGGCUGGUUGUCCAGGCAAAUCCGGAUAAUCAAGGCUGAGGUGUGAUGACGAGGCACUACGGUGCUGAAGUAACAAAUGCCCUGCUUCCAGGAAAAGCCUCUAAGCAUCAGGUAACAUCAAAUCGUACCCCAAACCGACACAGGUGGUCAGGUAGAGAAUACCAAGGCGCUUGAGAGAACUCGGGUGAAGGAACUAGGCAAAAUGGUGCCGUAACUUCGGGAGAAGGCACGCUGGUGUGUAGGUGAAGUCCCUGCGGAUGGAGCUGAGACCAGUCGAAGAUACCAGCUGGCUGCAACUGUUUAUUAAAAACACAGCACUGUGCAAACACGAAAGUGGACGUAUACGGUGUGACGCCUGCCCGGUGCCGGAAGGUUAAUUGAUGGGGUUAUCCGUAAGGAGAAGCUCUUGAUCGAAGCCCCGGUAAACGGCGGCCGUAACUAUAACGGUCCUAAGGUAGCGAAAUUCCUUGUCGGGUAAGUUCCGACCUGCACGAAUGGCGUAAUGAUGGCCAGGCUGUCUCCACCCGAGACUCAGUGAAAUUGAACUCGCUGUGAAGAUGCAGUGUACCCGCGGCAAGACGGAAAGACCCCGUGAACCUUUACUAUAGCUUGACACUGAACAUUGAGCCUUGAUGUGUAGGAUAGGUGGGAGGCUUUGAAGCGUGGACGCCAGUCUGCGUGGAGCCAACCUUGAAAUACCACCCUUUAAUGUUUGAUGUUCUAACGUUGGCCCCUUACCGGGGUUGCGGACAGUGUCUGGUGGGUAGUUUGACUGGGGCGGUCUCCUCCCAAAGCGUAACGGAGGAGCACGAAGGUUAGCUAAUCCUGGUCGGACAUCAGGAGGUUAGUGCAAUGGCAUAAGCUAGCUUGACUGCGAGCGUGACGGCGCGAGCAGGUGCGAAAGCAGGUCAUAGUGAUCCGGUGGUUCUGAAUGGAAGGGCCAUCGCUCAACGGAUAAAAGGUACUCCGGGGAUAACAGGCUGAUACCGCCCAAGAGUUCAUAUCGACGGCGGUGUUUGGCACCUCGAUGUCGGCUCAUCACAUCCUGGGGCUGAAGUAGGUCCCAAGGGUAUGGCUGUUCGCCAUUUAAAGUGGUACGCGAGCUGGGUUUAGAACGUCGUGAGACAGUUCGGUCCCUAUCUGCCGUGGGCGCUGGAGAAUUGAGGGGGGCUGCUCCUAGUACGAGAGGACCGGAGUGGACGCAUCACUGGUGUUCGGGUUGUCAUGCCAAUGGCACUGCCCGGUAGCUAAAUGCGGAAGAGAUAAGUGCUGAAAGCAUCUAAGCACGAAACUUGCCCCGAGAUGAGUUCUCCCUGAGACUUUAAGUCUCCUGAAGGAACGUUGAAGACGACGACGUUGAUAGGCCGGGUGUGUAAGCGCAGCGAUGCGUUGAGCUAACCGGUACUAAUGAACCGUGAGGCUUAACCUUACAACGCCGAAG
rnacentral:rRNA from 1 species